AGCGAACGCUGGCGGCAGGCCUAACACAUGCAAGUCGAACGAAGUCUUCGGACUUAGUGGCGGACGGGUGAGUAACACGUGGGAACGUACCUUUUGGUUCGGAACAACUCAGGGAAACUUGAGCUAAUACCGGAUGAGCCCUUAGGGGGAAAGAUUUAUCGCCGAAAGAGCGGCCCGCGUUAGAUUAGCUAGUUGGUGAGGUAAAGGCUCACCAAGGCUACGAUCAGUAGCUGGUCUGAGAGGAUGACCAGCCACAUUGGGACUGAGACACGGCCCAAACUCCUACGGGAGGCAGCAGUGGGGAAUCUUGCGCAAUGGGCGAAAGCCUGACGCAGCCAUGCCGCGUGAAUGAUGAAGGUCUUAGGAUUGUAAAAUUCUUUUACCAGGGACGAUAAUGACGGUACCUGGAGAAAAAGCCCCGGCUAACUUCGUGCCAGCAGCCGCGGUAACAC
rnacentral:rRNA from 1 species